GUCUUACCCCUGCAAACUAGCCGAGCAAAGCUAGACAAAAAUGGGGGUUGUCAACCCAAGUUUGGCCCCAAAAUCUAUUUUGCUGGACUCUGACAACCUUACUGAAAUUCACACCACACAAGUUUGGAAUAUCAAAUCAAGGCAGGAAUCCAGCACCAGGCAAAAAUUUGAAGUACUCCUACUUGAUUUUGGCCACCUUCUCUCCAAGACCCCAAGCACUGAAUUCUCUCAUCUUAUUCCCUGACAACCUCAAGGAAAACAGCUGGUACUCAUGGUGUGCUUUUGUGUACCCUAACUCUACCUCCAUGAGUUUUCUUAUAUCUCACUCCCCUCCACCAACUCUACAAUCCCUUGACCCUGGCCUCCUGGCUAGUCCUCACAGAAGACAUUCCAUCUCUUGACUCCAUGCGUUUUCAGAGGCUGUCCCAUCUGCCUGGAAUGUUCUCAUCUCCACCUCCUGGCUUCCUUCAAGUGCCAGCUGAAGUCCCAUCUUCUGCAAGAAGCCUUUAAUGAUCUAGUGCCUACCCUCUGGGGUCACCUCCAACUUACCCUGUACAUGGCAUGUUUGUACGUAAUUCGUACAUUGUCUCCCCCAACAGAAUGUGUUCCUUGACAGUAUGGACUGCUUUGCCUUUCUUUGUAUCCCCAGCAUUUAACAUGUAGUAAGCGAUUAAUAAAUGUGGACUAACGGCCUGUUGGGCUUGAAUCCCUUA